rnacentral:rRNA from 1 species
AAUUGAUAGGGAGGCAAGAGACAACCUGGCGAACUGAAACAUCUUAGUAGCCAGAGGAAAAGAAAGCAAAAGCGAUUCCCUGAGUAGUGGCGAGCGAAAUGGGAACAGCCUAAACCGCCUUCCGUUUUGGAAGGCGGGGUUGUGGGAGAGCGACAUAAGCUAAGAGUUACUAGACGAAGCAGCUGAGUCCUGCACCUUAGAUGGUGAGAGUCCAGUAGUUGAAAGUAUCUCUAGCAAACGCUAAUACCCGAGUAGCAUGGGGCACGUGAAAUCCCGUGUGAAUCAGCGAGGACCACCUCGUAAGGCUAAAUACUCCUGGGUGACCGAUAGUGAAGUAGUACCGUGAGGGAAAGGUGAAAAGAACCCCCAUCGGGGAGUGAAAUAGAACAUGAAACCGUAAGCCUCCAAGCAGUGGGAGGAGAAUGGAAUCUCUGACCGCGUGCCUGUUGAAGAAUGAGCCGGCGACUUAUAGGCAGUGGCCUGGUUAAGGGUUUUACUCCCGGAGCCGUAGCGAAAGCGAGUCUUUCUAGGGCGAAUGUCACUGCUUAUGGACCCGAACCCGGGUGAUCUAACCAUGGCCAGGGUGAAGCUUGGGUGAAGCCAAGUGGAGGUCCGAACCGACUGAUGUUGAAAAAUCAGCGGAUGAGCUGUGGUUAGGGGUGAAAUGCCACUCGAACUCGGAGCUAGCUGGUUCUCCCCGAAAUGCGUUGAGGCGCAGCGGUUGACUGGACUGCCUAGGGGUAAAGCACUGUUUCGGUGCGGGCUGCGAAAGCGGUACCAAAUCGAGGCAAACUCUGAAUACUAGGCACGACAUUGGUCAGCCAGUAAGACGGUGUGGGAUAAGCUUCAUCGUCGAGAGGGAAACAGCCCAGACCACCAGCUAAGGCCCCUAAAUGACCGCUCAGUNGCAAAGGAGGUGAGAGUGCAAAGACAGCCAGGAGGUUUGCCUAGAAGCAGCCACCCUUGAAAGAGUGCGUAAUAGCUCACUGAUCGAGCGCUCUUGCGCCGAAGAUGAACGGGACUAAGCGGUCUGCCGAAGCUGUGGGAUGUCCGUUAGGGCAUCGGUAGGGGACGUUCCGCAAAAGGGAGAAGCAUCAGUGCAAACAGGUGUGGACGAAGCGGAAGUGAGAAUGUCGGCUUGAGUAACGCAAACAUUGGUGAGAAUCCAAUGCCCCGAAAACCCAAGGGUUCCUCCGCAAGGCUCGUCCACGGAGGGUGAGUCAGGGCCUAAGAUCAUGCCGAACGGCGCAGUCGAUGGACAACAGGUCAAGAUUCCUGUACUACCCCUUGUCGGCAAUAAGAGGGACGGAGGAGGCUAAGCUAGCCGAACAAUGGUCAUCGGUUCAAGGGUUGUUCAAACACCUGAGUACUAGGCACCUACGGGGCCGAAGUAGCUGAUGCCACGCUCCCAAGAAAAGCUCUUACGCCAAUUUUUUUCCAGACACGAAGUGUGUCUSCSUCUUUCAGACCUCCCUACGUGGAGAUCGUGCAGAUACGGUUCAACAAAAAUAAGACAAGUGGGUACCUGUACCCGAAACCGACACAGGUGGGUAGGUUGAGAAUACCUAGGGGCGCGAGACAACUCUCUCUAAGGAACUCGGCAAGAUGGCCCCGUAACUUCGGGAGAAGGGGUGCCCCUCUGGGGCCGCAGUGACCAGGCCCAGGCGACUGUUUACCAAAAACACAGGUCUCCGCAAAGUCGCAAGACGACGUAUGGGGGCUGACGCCUGCCCAGUGCCGGAAGGUUAAGGAAGUCGGUGACUCGAGUACGAGGAAGCUGGCGACCGAAGCCCCGGUGAACGGCGGCCGUAACUAUAACGGUCCUAAGGUUGGGAAUAUAUAUCGCUAGCCUUACGUAAAACCAAACUAUAUGCUGGAAACUCCUCAAAAACUUUGGCACUACUCGUUAUAGCUGCUGCUACGCAAAAAGAAAGAAUCUUUCAGACUUUCAGAUCGAAGCGCAAGAACGCACCAAUAGCUACUAGCAGUCAAAACGUGAAAGACACGGGGGACAAAUCAGCAGCGACAGCCUCAUUAUUUUUUAUGAACUGAGAAAUCCUCAGAGAACUAUAACGUUUGGSAGAUUUUCCAAUCGAUUUAGMCAMCACAAUGGCUNNNUUGGUUUUGUUGCUGGAGAGGUGUUUUCAUUCUUCUAUUAAUAAGACAAUGAAUGACCUGUGUCAAUCACCAGAUUUACUGUUGUUCAACAUGAAGGCGAUAUCCAGGUCUUAUGCCUUAACAGUAUUUGGAUGUGAGUUGUACGUCGAAAUCAUGGGAUAGGUUUGCUUAUCGAGUUCGCGGUCAAAAAAAAUCUCCGUGAACGAAUCAUUCCGUUUUUUGAGAAACACAAGUUGAAGACAAAAAAACGGAUCGCCUUUGAAAAAUUUCGAGAUGUCAUUCUUAUGAUAGAACAAGAAGAGCAUCUUACAGAAAAAGGAGUCGAGAAUAUUCGAAAGAUUCAAGAAAAUAUGAAUCGAAAAGCGAAGAAGAAGUUCUAACAGACGCUGCCGUGAUGAGUACUUAUUACUACUCUCUUCAAUCAAUAAAGUUUCUAAUGAAAAUCUAAGAUAGAGUCCAGCUUCUUGUGAAAGCAAAGAGAGAAACUGAGCGAAAUUCCUUGUCGGGUAAGUUCCGACCCGCACGAAAGCCGUAACGAUCUGGGCACUGUCUCGGAGAGAGGCUCGGUGAAAUAGACUUGUCUGUGAAGAUGCGGACUACCUGCACCUGGACAGAAAGACCCUAUGAAGCUUUACUGUUCCUUGGGAUGGGGUUUGGGCCCUUCUUGCGCAGUCUAGGUGGGAGGCGAAGACGGCGUCCUUCCGGGGACGCUCGAGCCGAAGAUGAGAGACCACCCUAGAAGGGCUAGGAUUCUAACCUUAUGCCUAGAAGAAGGCUAGGGGACAGUCCCAGGUAGACAGUUUCUAUGGGGCGUAGGCCUCCUAAAGGGUAACGGAGGCGUGCAAAGGUUUCCUCAGGCUGGACGGAAAUCAGCCUUCGAGUGCAAAGGCAGAAGGGAGCUUGACUGCAAGACCUACCCGUCGAGCAGGGACGAAAGUCGGCCUUAGUGAUCCGACGGUUCCGAGUGGAAGGGCCGUCGCUCAACGGAUAAAAGUUACUCUAGGGAUAACAGGCUGAUCUUCCCCAAGAGUUCACA